AAUGCCUUUAUGCAAACAAAGACAACUUCAGUUGGACUUUCUUCUCCUGGUGCAGUGCCAGGGCUGAUUGAUGAGCUGAGCUAGGCCAGCUGAGUGCCUCAGCUGUGGGGCUGAGGUAAUGAACAGAUAGGUUGCCUGGGCCACUGAUUGUUCUGCCCUUGUAGCUGUGCUUGCAUGUAUAACUGAGGGGGUGGAUGUGGCUAUCAGUUUCCCCCUGUGCUGGGAGACAGUACCUUCCUGAGAAUGUCUCUGUGCUCUUGUGACAUGUGAGCAGACCAGUAAGAAUACAGAGCGGGUGUGCUGCAGAACUAACAACAAGGGAGUGAAGGCAGCUCAUCUACAGAGAAUGAAUGAGCAGAAAGGAGACAAACAACUGAGAAAAAUGUGUUGGAAAUAGGGCAGACAAAAAAGCAGUCCUGUUACUGUAAUGUUCAUCUGGAAGCUCUCUUCCAGCCUCCGAGCUUCUGAAGAGCAUCUAAAGUGAAUACACAGGGUCUCUGUGAUGAUGAUUAUUGUGCAAUUUUUGUUUCAACAUAGAGCUAUGCUUUCUGGACUUCAGCCGUACUGGAGCAUGAUCAACUUCAGGAUAAACAACAAAGAGAAGAUAUAAUUAUAUAUACUCCCAGGAGAUGAAAAUCAAAACUGUUUUUCAGACCAUGGAUGCUAAAUGGGCUAAAGUCAAUUAGCAAAACCAUCUCUCACCACAUGCUAUAGCAAUUAAUGUAUUAAAUUGAGGAGUGAUCACCUAGUGCAACUUAAGCAGCUGCUCUUCUUUCAGUGAGACAGAAGUCUUAAAUAUUUUCUCUGCCACAUUACCUAGCAGUGGAAACCAGUUCUUGCCAAAAUCCAUAAAGCUGAUGUCUUAUCCCUCUCUAAAUCCCUCCUCGAAACCUUUUUUUGCUAUGAUGCUCAUGAACCACUCCCAUCUGUUAGGCAAGUAGUGAGCUGCAGUGAAGUCUGUUUGCUUUACAGUUAUUCAGUCUUUCCAACCCACUCCCACCUCACAGUUUAUCUGUUCCAUCCAUCGCUUUUAUGCUCGCCGAUAAGAACAGUGUUAGAUCUCUGAUGCAGCGACUCAUUAUUGUUUGCAAAACUCCUAAUUAAAUGAUACCCUUUCUUUUUAUGUUUCUGGGUGCAACUUUAAUAUGAAUUGUAAAUAAUACCUUUGUAGAAUUAGCAUUAUCAGUAACCCAAAAAUUUGAAAUUAAGACUUCAGUGGUAGGUGAUCUGUGAUGCACUAAAGGAACUAAGAAGUGGAAAAGCCAUUGAGCUCCCACAGCAGUUUCUUCACCAUACAAAUUCUACCCUCUAAUGUGGUGGAGCGGAAAUAGAUGUGAGGAACUGUGCAUGUGUGAGCCUCUACGACUCAAAUUUGCCACAAUUAGAUCUGAUUUCUUGGUUAAUGCUAACCUCUGGUUGGUCAUCUGUGCACAGAAAGCUUCCCACAUUAAUGUAGCUUAGCAGUACACAACCUGGUGUUCCUCCUGUUUGAAACACAGCAACUUAUUUUGUCCUGCUGUGAAGGAUUUCAUAACAGAAGCAAUCUUUAGUUGAACAUUGCAGAAGAGGUAAUAAGAGAAAGUUCUGGGUCAUAACCUCAUUAUGACAAGACUGAUAGCGUGUCACCUCGGCUGUGAUAUCAAUAACUGGGUCAACUCCAGUAAUAAAAAUGAAUACACUGUGCAUCACUAAGCCAGGAGGAGAACAGUAUGUCUUUUGAGACCUCUGUGUAACUGGUUGUACGUGUUCUAAAAUGAGUACAUUCUUUGAGAAGCAUUAAAAGAAACAGAUCUUACCUUAGUGUCUAAUCAUAACAAAUGACAGGCUGGUUUAAUUAUUACUUGGUAAUUCUUUAUUUAAACUUUGUACAAAGAUUCAUUUGCAGUAUAUUCUUUCAUGCAGAACAUAAAAGAUAUAAUUGUGUGCAGAGUAGGUGUGGUGCUUCACUAGGUCAAGUAAGGAGUAAUUUGUUUAUAUACUUGCUCUGUAUGAAAAACCUGUGCAUGCUGUACAUGCAUGUCCCAGUUCAUAUGACUGUUCCUACUAAUUGUUUACACAAAUUGAGGGCAUUCAGCUCAUCAGUAUUUGAGGGUCGCUUUUCUUUCCUGAAGCAGGGAGGGAGCUUGACUAUAGAAGUCUGAUAUAAAGGCACAAGAAAGAGAUGUGUUGGCACAGUCCCGCAGUAAAAGGUUUUAAUAAAACCUUUCAGACACUAUCAAGAUCCUCAACCUUCCUCAAUCUAAAUAUCAGUAUUUCUAAUGCGUUAUCCUGGUGACUUCAUUUCCUUGUAGGACUUGAUAAAACAAAAAUUCAGGGGCUAGACUUCACUGAUUAGCCAUUCUUGGGGAUGAUACAAAACAAUCUGAGCUGAAUCUUUUUUACUCUGCUUACUUUUUUACUCUGCUUACUGAAGCUGACUUUCUUCCUUCAGAAAAGCUGUUACAGUUAUUUCACUGGAUCACUUUUUUUUUUUUUUUAAGCCAACUUGUAUGUGUAGUGUUUGUGCUUCACAUGUACAGUUGUUGCACCAAGGAACUUAUGUGAACUAAGAGGCACUGGGCAUGUCAAAUGAGACAUGGGGAAGUAAAUCUAGAAGUCACUCUGGGAAACUUUGGUAUCAUUUUCACAAAACAUGCAGUUGAGAAAUGGUAGAAUGUUAGCUAAUUCUCAAGGGUUUUAUUUAUUUUUCUUAUUUGCAAACGAACAAGCAAAAACUGCAGAUGUUUCUGGACCUGAUUUGCUUGGGUUGCCACCUGCUUUCUACUGAACACUACAUAAUCCAGCUAAGAUUGAGAUAAUGUGAGAUGCGUGUAAGACUUCUUUCAGCAGAUUGCUCCUCACAGUUACUGUCUCUUCUAUUCCUUCUCUCCUCCACCUCUCAUAUCUUAGAGCUGGAAAUCUCUGCCAUUCCCUACCUCAAGACCUCAGAGUUUGGUACCAUCUUCUUAUACUUAUUCUGGCUUUUUAGAAUGCCAUGAAGCUCCCAGUUAAUGUAGAGGAAUUAAUCAGUUGGGUCACUGUCAACUCAAAGUUAAAGGAUCAAAGUCAAAGACACUCUCUUCAGUAGCUGCUGGCUGAUGUCCUCUCGUAGUAUAUAUGGGCCUAUACAGAUGAAAGGGAGAAGACCAACAAAAGCCUGAACUCCACUGCACUGGCAACUGGAAUGGCUUCUGUAGAGAGAGAAAAGGAAGGAAAGGAAUUGCUUUCACUCCAGGGGAUCAGGAAUGAUGUGCUAGCUGUACAACAUUUACAGAAAGGAGCUGUAAGGCUUGUCUGUGUCUAUCCCAUGGAAAAGGGGAACCACGUUUUUCAAAGCUGCUAAUCAGCCAUUUUAAUUAGUGUUGAACUUAAUAGCCCUCAAGGCAACUUUCUUUAUUAACACUGCUUCUGUGCAAGGGUUUUGAUUAAUGGGAGCCUGCUCUGUUCUUGGGGCUCUGUGCUGCAGAGCUCUCAUCAGCUCUGGAGGGCAUAGGACAUUUGACAAUACCACAAGAGAAAUGCAAGCAAUUACACAUAGAAGAAACGUGUUCUUCCAGCAUGGAAAAAAUGGAUAGAAUACUAUUGUCCUGCUACAGGGCAUUCAUUGUUUUAUGACACAGCCACUGUUUUUUCUAUUAUCAACCAUAUUUAGAAAGUAAAUGUUUUUCUAACCUCUGCUGUUUUU